ensembl:lncRNA
UGUGGAAUACUGUAGCAUUAGGGCAAAAGCACAAGGUGUCUGAAUAAUAAAACAAACGGUUGAGAGAGGUGUUUUCUGCAAAGACUGGUCUGGGAGAGAGGGGAGGGGACAGCUCGCGCUCUCUAAGGCUUUCUGAUGGGAACGAAGGGUUGAGCUUGAUGCCGUCCACCUGGCCUUGCUGCUGCUCCAGUUUCAACUGUUCUGGCUGUGGUUAUGGAACCCUGACCUGUUCACCGGACAUGCUACCUGUCCCAGACCUGCUAUUUUCAACUCUCUAGAGACAGCAGGAGCGGUAGAGAUACUCUCAAUGAUCGGCUAUGAAAAGCCAACUGACAUUUACUCCUGAGGACCUGAGACCUAAGACCAUGCCUCAGGACUACCUGGCAUGAUAACUCCUUGCUGUCCCCAGUCCACCUGGCCGUGCUGCUGCUCCAGUUUCAACUGUUCUGCCUGCGGCUAUGGAAUCCUGACCUGUUCACCAGACGUGCUACCUGUCCCAGACCUAUUAUUUGACCAUGCUGGUCAUUUAUGAACAUUUGAACAUCUUGGCCAUGUUCUGUUAUAAUCUCCACCUGGCACAGCCAGAAGAGGGCUGGCCACCCCACAUAGCCUGGUUCCUCUCUAGGUUUCUUCGUAGGUUUUGGCCUUUCUAGGGAGUUUUUCCUAGCCAACGUGCUUCAACACCUGCAAUGCUUGCUGUUUGGGGUUUAAGGCUGGGUUUCUGUACAGCACUUUGAGAUAUCAGCUGAUGUACGAAGGGCUAUAUAAAUACAUUUGAUUUUAUUUAAAACAUGUUGGUAUUACAGUCUCGGACAGGGAGAGGUUGAAAAUGUCAGUGAAGACACUUGCCAGUUGGUCAGUGCAUGCUCGCAGUACACAUCCUGGUAAUCCAUCUGGCCCUGCUGCCUUGUGAAUGUUGACUUGCUGAAAGGUUUUACUCACAUCGGCUGCAGAGAAUGUGAUUACACAUUCUUCCAGAACAGCUGGUGCUCUCAUGCAUGUUUCAGUGUUAUUUGCCUCUAAGUGAGCAUAGAGCUCAUCUGGUAGGCUCGUGUCACUGGGCAGUUCUCGGCUGUGCUUCCCUUUGUAGUCUGUAAUGGUUUGCAAGCCCUGCUAAAUCCUACGAUCAUCAGAGCCUGUGUAGUACGAUUCUACCUUAGUCCUGUGUUGACGCAUUGCCUGUUUGAUGGUUCGUCGGAAGGCAUAUCUGGAUUUCUUAUAAGCUUCCGGGUUAGACAGCUCCUUGAAAGCCGCAGCUCUUGCCUUUAGCUCAGUGCGCAUGUUGCCUAUAACCCAUGGCUUCUGGUUGGGGUAUGUACGUACGGUCACUGUGGGGACGACGUCCUCUCUGCACUUAUUGAUAAAGCCAGUAACUGAUGUGGUGUACUCCUCAAUGCCAUCAGAGGAAUCCCGGAACAUAUUCCAAUCUGUGCUAGCAAAACAGUCCUGUAGCUUAGCAUCUGCUUCAUCUGACCAUUUUUUUAUUGAUCUUGUCCCUGGUGCUUCCUGCUUUAGUUUUUGCUUGUAAGCAGGAAUAAGGAGGACAGAAUUAUUGUCAGAUGUGCCAAAUAGAACUUGCGGGAGAGCUUUGUAUGCGUCUCUGUGUGUGGAGUAAAGAUGGUCCAGAGUUUUUUUCCCUCUGGUUGCACAAUUAACAUGCUGAUAGAAAUUUGGUCAAACGGAUUAAAGUUUCCAUGCAUUAAAGUCCCCGCCUACUAGGA